rnacentral:rRNA from 1 species
UACACGGCCCGUACCCCAAACCGACACAGGUGAUCAGGUAGAGAAUACCAAGGCGAUCGAGAGAACUGUGGUUAAGGAACUCGGCAAAAUGCCCCCGUAACUUCGGGAGAAGGGGGACCAUGCCCGGUGAACAUCUUCACGGUGGGAGCUGGGUGUGGUCGCAGAGACCAGAGAGAAGCGACUGUUUACUAAAAACACAGGUCCGUGCGAAGACGUAAGUCGAUGUAUACGGACUGACGCCUGCCCGGUGCUGGAAGGUUAAGAGGACCGGUUAGCCGUAAGGCGAAGCUGAGAAUUUAAGCCCCAGUAAACGGCGGUGGUAACUAUAACCAUCCUAAGGUAGCGAAAUUCCUUGUCGGGUAAGUUCCGACCUGCACGAAUGGCGCAACGACUUCUCUGCUGUCUCGACCACAGACUCGGCGAAAUUGCACUACGAGUAAAGAUGCUCGUUACGCGCGGCAGGACGAAAAGACCCCGGGACCUUUACUAUAGCUUGGUAUUGGCGUUCGAUUCGGUUUGUGUAGGAUAGGUGGGAGACUGUGAAGCAUGCACGCCAGUGUGUGUGGAGUCGUUGUUGAAAUACCACUCUGAUCGUAUUGGACGUCUAACCUCGGCCCAUGAUCUGGGUUAGGGACAGUGCCUGGUGGGUAGUUUAACUGGGGCGGUUGCCUCCUAAAGAGUAACGGAGGCGCCCAAAGGUUCCCUCAGCCUGGAUGGCAAUCAGGUGUUGAGUGCAAGUGCACAAGGGAGCUUGACUGUGAGACUGACACGUCGAGCAGGGACGAAAGUCGGGACUAGUGAUCCGGCACCGGCAAGUGGAAGCGGUGUCGCUCAACGGAUAAAAGGUACCCCGGGGAUAACAGGCUGAUCUUCCCCAAGAGUCCAUAUCGACGGGAUGGUUUGGCACCUCGAUGUCGGCUCGUCGCAUCCUGGGGCUGGAGUAGGUCCCAAGGGUUGGGCUGUUCGCCCAUUAAAGCGGCACGCGAGCUGGGUUUAGAACGUCGUGAGACAGUUCGGCCUCUAUCCGCCGCGCGCGUAAGAAACUUGAGGAAGGCUGUCCCUAGUACGAGAGGACCGGGACGGACGAACCUCUGGUGUGCCAGUUGUUCCACCAGGAGCAUGGCUGGUUAGCUACGUUCGGAAGGGAUAACCGCUGAAAGCAUCUAAGCGGGAAGCCUGUUCCAAGAUGAGGUUUCUCACCACCUUGCGUGGUUAAGGCCCCCUACAGACCAUGGGGUUGAUAGGCCGGAACUGGAAGCGCAGCAAUGCGUGGAGGUGACCGGUACUAAUAGGCCGAGGGCUUAAAAUA